GAAGUUUUUGCUGAGUCAGUAUGAAUGAUCAUGGCUCGGGGAAUAGUCUCAAGAGGUCCUGAGGUGCUUGGGUUACAGCUUGGUUUUAUACAUUUUAGGGAGACAUGAGUUACAGGCAAAGACAUAAGUCGAUACAUGGAAGGUACACAUUUGGCCCCAAAUGGGAGGACAUCUCCAAGUAUGGAAUAUUUCCAUGCAGUGGCAUACAAGUCAUAGGUGAGAAAUUUACAUCCAUGCAAGGGCACAGCAAGAAGGCAG
rnacentral:lncRNA from 1 species